rnacentral:rRNA from 1 species
CCUACGGGGGGCAGCAGUAGGGAAUAUUGCUCAAUGGGGGAAACCCUGAAGCAGCAACGCCGCGUGGAGGAUGAAGGUUUUCGGAUUGUAAACUCCUUUUGUGAGAGAAGAUCAUGACGGUAUCUAACGAAUAAGCACCGGCUAACUCCGUGCCAGCAGCCGCGGUAAUACGGAGGGUGCAAGCGUUACGCGGAAUCACUGGGCGUAAAGAGAGCGUAGGCGGGAUAGCAAGUCAGAUGUGAAAUCCUAUGGCUUAACCAUAGUACUGCAUUUGAAACUGUUAUUCUAGAGUACGGGAGAGGUAGAUGGAAUUCUUGGUGUAGGGGUAAAAUCCUUAGAUAUCAAGAGGAAUACUCAUGGCGAAGGCGACCUGCUAGAACAUAACUGACGCUGAUGCGCGAAAGCGUGGGGAGCAAACAGGAUUAGAUACCCCAGUAGUC